GUUGCAUGAGUACGGUAUCACCCACCAUGAGUUGCUCUGGAUAGAGGGGCUUCAUUUUCAGGCGGCUGUAAAGGUCUGACUGAUCAACCAGGGCCAUGGCAAGAUCCAGAGCCUCCACUUGCCCCUCAUUUUCCUUCAUCACAUUCUCCUGCAAGGCCAUAUUGCUGUGUGGGUUUGUGUCAUCAAUCGGCCAGCGGAGCCACUCCAUGGAGCAGCACACCACGCUGGCCGGACACACCUGAAGGUGAGCUGCCCGGGAGGACCGAGGCAGGUGGACUGGACAGCCGUACUCAGCGUUGAGGCAGGGCACCCUCACGUUAGGGCAGAGCAGCAUGUGAUCCUCCUCUUUGCACAGGUGGAAUAGAGCGCCACAGUGCAGACGGCAGGGGAUAACCGCACAGCACACAGAGACUUCCACCCGGGCCCUGCAGCGCUGGCUAUAGCAGGAAUCACAGUGGAUAUGCUGUCGCAACCUGGAGGCACGAGAACGAUGACUCUGAUUGGAUGAGAAAGAAGAAGAGAGGAGGCAACUAGGAUGGAAGAAUUAUUAACAAGAAAGAUUUACAACGUGGAAAUACAGCAUAUUAAACACUUACAUCAA